UUCAUUCAUUUUCUACCGCUUAUCCGAACUAUUCUUGGGUCACAGGGAGCCUGUGCCUAUCUCGGGCGUCAUUGGGCAUCAAGGCAGGAUACACCCUGGACAGAGUGCCAACCCAUCGCAGGGCACACACACACACAUGGUGUGAGGCAAAUGUACUGACCACUAAGCCACCGUGCCCCCCCAGCAUAUAGUUACUUUUUAUAAAUUAUUUUGCAAACUACUUUGCUUUUCAAUACUAAGGGCAAUUUUGUGUAACUUGAUUUAUGACAUAAAUAAAUAUAUGUGUGACAAUUGGAGAAGGCGCUAUAGAAUUUCUAUUAUAUAGAAUUAUAUAGAAAUUCUGAUAUUUUUGUCCACUGGAGGGUGAUGUGGUGCUGCGCUGAAAUCAUGUCCUGAUUUCAAAUGAUCAUUUUAUAACCUUGAAAAAUACUUUGGAUCCAAACUGGUACAAUAUGAACAGCUUCUGUUAUUUCUGUUAUUUUAACUUUAAUAUUAACUUUUUAUAACAUGCCUUUUCCAUCUGUCCUCCCUUGUUGGUUGUUGACUUAAUCAUCUGACUGUAGAGUAUGCUAUACUAAAGGGCUGAACCAUUUUCUACACACCAGAAGUUGGUUAGCUUCCUGAAGUCAUAGAAUCGAGACACAUAAGCAGCACAGGUUUCAGCCUUGUGCUUUUCACAUGAUCAAGCCUAAGCUCUGGCUUGCCUCGGGAAAGAAAAGUCCAGGACUUGUUCAUCACUCACCCUUUCUCAUUGUGUUUUCACAGAGAACCUUCUGUAUGAGAGAUUUCUUCCUCCUAUAGGCCACAUAACUAAGACCCCCAGGAAUGCAUGUGUACUGCUGCGUUGUGUCCAGAGAGGUGUGAUGGUCUUACUCUUUGCCCUAAACUCCCCAAACCACAUCACCAGACAAUCCCAUGCUAAACUACCUACUGGCAUGUUCUGGGAGGUGGAAGAAACCAAUGAACCCAGGGAAAACCUAUGAGGCAGAAAUGCAACCCACUGCUCCACCAUAUCAUCUGAACUAAACAUUUUUCCACUUACUCUAGGCAUGCUAAUGGGAUUCAUAUGACUAGCAGUGCCACUGAUUACCAGCAACCUGUGAAUUCCUGAUUCAACUGGGCAGUAAUUCCACAUUAAGUCCUCAGCUAAGCUUAUCACUUACCUCAGCUAUAAACAUACUUUUACAUAACCUGGUUGAAGUAUUAUUGAAAGGUAGAAAAACUAAUCUGUUAUAUAUUAGAA